UGAUCAGUGGACCCGUUGAUGGACCUGGAGUUUGCAAGGAUAACAGAGAAAAUCUGAGAUGUUGCACAAAUUAUCAACAAAACGGUUUUGACUGCAAACCCUGUGAAGUAGGUACAUAUGGUGUAAACUGUUCAGGAGGACCCUGUCCUUAUGGUUCUUAUGGAUUUGGCUGUUCAAAAAAGUGUUACUGUACCAGUGACCAGCAAUGUGACAGGAAGACAGGAUGUAGAUACAAUUACAGUU